GAUGAACGCUGGCGGCGUGCCUAAUACAUGCAAGUCGAGCGAACGGACGAGAAGCUUGCUUCUCUGAUGUUAGCGGCGGACGGGUGAGUAACACGUGGAUAACCUACCUAUAAGACUGGGAUAACUUCGGGAAACCGUAGCUAAUACCGGAUAAUAUUUUGAACCGCAUGGUUCAAAAGUGAAAGACGGUCUUGCUGUCACUUAUAGAUGGAUCCGCGCUGCAUUAGCUAGUUGGUAAGGUAACGGCUUACCAAGGCAACGAUGCAUAGCCGACCUGAGAGGUGGGCGCGCACCAGGGGACUGGAAACCCGGCCCAGCCCCCGCGGGGAGGAGCAAUGAGGGAUUCUCCCCAAAGGGGCGAAACCUGACCGGACAACCCCCGGUGGAUGGAGAAAGGUUUCGGUAUCUAAAACUUUUUUUAUGAGGGAAAAACAUAUUUGUAAGUACCUGUACACACCUGGAGGGCACCUAACAAAAAAGCCACGACUAACCCCGCC
rnacentral:rRNA from 1 species